rnacentral:rRNA from 1 species
UACGAAGGGUGCAAGCGUUAAUCGGAAUUACUGGGCGUAAAGCGCGCGUAGGUGGUUUGUUAAGUUGGAGGUGAAAUCCCCGGGCUCAACCUGGGAACUGCCUCUAAGACUGACUGACUUGAGUACGGUAGAGGGUGGUGGAAUUUCCUGUGUAGCGGUGAAAUGCGUAGAUAUAGGAAGGAACACCAGUGGCGAAGGCGACCACCUGGACUGAUACUGACACUGAGGUGCGAAAGCGUGGGGAGCAAACAGG